CCUUUGAUCGCCCGCGGCCCGAGGCCCGCAGCUCGCAGCCCACACUGUGGCGGGCAGGUGGCGGCAGCGGGGCGCGGCGAGCUCAGGCGCACCGGUCCCCGGGCCGCGGCGCGCUCCCCGCCACGCCACACAUCAAGGCCCGGCCGGCCGGCGGGCGCCUUCAUUAGCAGCCUGAAAUUAUAAUAUUAUGUUAAAGAACAAAGCUGCUCCCCAGAAAAAUAUGUGCUGCAUAUCUGACAAAGAUAAAUUGGAUUAUUCAAAAUAUUCUUGAUGAAAUGUUACAUUUUGCAACUAAUUAUCAAUCUGUUUUAUCUGUAGACCAGCUGGGCAUUUUUGUGCAUGCAAGACCGGCCUCCGCAAUGAUCUUAAGAUGUCACUGCGGCGUUUACAUCUUUUAUUUCAAGGUUUAAAUAACUGGGAAGUAGCUAAUGUAAUUCACUGCUGAGAAGAAAGGCAAGCUUCUUGAUUCCUUUCCAAAGCCAUCUCUUCCUAAUGAACUUCUUUGGACUCUUUCUUUUGGCCAAGCUCCACGGAGAAGGCAAGGCUUCCCACUGUAUGGAUGAGGAACCGGAAGCCAAAGAAAGGGGAUGCUGGGCUGUGCUCAGUGAUACCCCGAGGAUACCCAAGGGGCCUCAAAGGAGACACAGCCGGCACUGACACAUGUUCUGAGCGCCCCACUUAGCAAAGGAUGAAAGAUGGAGUUGUAACCGCUGGGAGAAACAUGUGGGGGACCUGUCACUGUGUGGAUUUCCCUUCUCAGCUGAAAGGUCUUCAAAGUGCCUGUGAGGAGCAUGCCAAGGAAAAUCAACAGCCAUUCUCCCACCGAAAUGACAGAGCAGGCAUCCUUCUUGCUCUCCUAAUUGAUAUCAUUGUGACUGCUUUUCCAUAAAAUUAUCCCCAGACAGGUUCUCAGAGCUGUCACCAAGCCAUUUGAAAUUUUGCAUGAAGCACGUCUCUGUAUGUGUUGCCUCUCUGCAUGACUUCUUUCUUUUCCUUCUUUGGGCCUGGCUUUUACAAAAUGUCUUUUGUACUCUUCACAGAAGAGAAUAACUUCUGACCUCACUGUCUGCCUGGGUCUGAUCCCUGGGCAUUUCAUUUGGCAAUCCCAGGGUAACAGUCGAAUGAUAAGAUGUAAAGGUUUUAAGAAAUGAGUCUUGGACUUCCCUGAGUCCAGUGAGAAAGGGAUUUUUCUUUGUUUUAAAGUACUCUUUCCUCCUCAGAUGUUUCUUUGGUGGAUUCUUGGAUAUCUGGAGCUCUGCUGAGCUCCCUCCUUCUUGGUUUCCUGCUCCCAACAAAUAAUAAUUAUUAUUUUUUCCAU
rnacentral:lncRNA from 1 species